rnacentral:rRNA from 1 species
CCUGAGAAACCCAAAAGAUCGAAUGGGGAGAUUCAUCGUUCAGCGGCGCUGGCUUCCGUGCGGCUCGCGAUGGCCGUGGCCUCGGUCACGCGUCACGCGGUCGCUGCGGCAUGUCCGGCGUCGUCGGCGUGCACUUCUCCCCUAGUAGGACGUCGCGACCCGUUGGGUGCCGGCCAACGGCCCGGUUGGUCGACUGUAGCGUUGGCGUUUACGCGUCACGCUGCAGACCACCGGUCGCCCGGCCGGCUGCUCGGCGGUAUGACACUCUUUGUAUCACGGUAUUGGGCCGCACUUCGGUGCGUUCAGGCUCGUCGGCAGGCUCGUCUCGCUCGGAUUUACGGACCUGGUGCCGUUGCCGAGCGCUUGGCGUGGCCGUUUCAGCCGGCGAUGUCCUCGGACGGGCUCUGGUUGCUUUCUCUGAAAGCAAUCCUGAUUACCGGUCGGCGACGCUAUUGCCUUGGGUACUUUC